rnacentral:lncRNA from 1 species
UGUUAAAAAUGAUGUCUUCACACUGUUAGAAAUCUGGCAAAUCGCAUUAGUCCACUUUUCGAGCUGUUUUCAAAUCCCGCUCCAGGUAUGUAUACAUACAUAUACAAUAUACGUGCCGAAUGAGGAAACCCAAGGUACAAUAACGUCCAAGAAAAAGAUGAAGAUUCCGAUACCUACAUAGGAUCUAGCAUACGUUUUAUUGACCCCUGGUCGUAGCUUAGAAAUAAUUUUGUAACGGUCUAAUAUCCAUGAUGCAUGUCGUCGAUGUAAAAAUUCCUUCCUCUACGGGUUUGAGGUGAACGAAGAACUGGAUUUAAAAAAAGAAGAAACAAGCCGAGUCUCUGCACAAACACAAAUACGCGUCGGGUCCCUGAAUCCGUGUACCUGUCGUGUCAACCCUCAGUGAACACUAGAGAAAGGAUUCUAGCCGGCAGAAACGGGCUUUUGUCUCUUUGAUCAUACCCUCCUGUGCCUGGAUCGAUUCAUUGUUAACAAUCAAUAACAACUUUGCGCCAACCCAUACCUUCGACAUUCUCCCGCUGGGCACGUAUUGCGACAGACAGAACCGACACAACUUGAUCAGGUCCAUGCCCAUCCUCUUCCUGUUACCUCUCUGUCGUUUUAUCAACUCUCAUUUUAAGCCGCGGUUAGAGCCCUCCGAACCUGUUACAUUUUUAAACUCGAACGGUUGCUCGAUUUUCAACGCGUAUAAAACACAAACCAUUAAUCUCAAACAAUUGCUCGUAUAAAGAAGAUGACAAGUACAACUGCACUACGUGUAAAGUGGUCAAGAAAUUUGUUCAAAAUCGUGUGGCAACGACUUUAAUACGAACACAUACGUAUGCCUGUCUGCAUACGGCAUGUGAAAUUGAGUAAUCGCGGUUGCAUUUGAUUUGAACCGGUAUAAUACAGUGGCUGUGAAGAUUUUCUCCUCGUUAAACCUGCCAGGACUCGAAAUAUCACGCUGUAUAUUUCACUUUUCGUAAUUCUCUUAUUACAGGAGAUUACGGUUAUUACGACGAGUCGAACCAGUUGACAAACUUAGGAAGUGUCGUUCGUCGGAUUAUUAUGCCAGCUAGUGUACGGAUGCAAGUGUGCCUGCACUGGAAGCCACUCCCCGUAAAUUGACAACAGCGGGUCCACCUUCUGUCCGCUUUUAUUCUAUCGCACGGGGGAUUUUCAUAUUUCGAACAAUCGAGUACAACGAAGGUGAUUAUCUCACGCCCACAGUGAUUAUUCGCACGAAAGAACGGCUGCACUUUGCUGUUGGCUGUUGUAUCGUGUACCUGGACACCGUGAGUUCAAUGACGAGACGACGACGACCACGACGCGAUGUAAUUACUCCACCAAGGGAUUAAUUACCAUUAGCAAUUCUUCGAGAGGAUUUAAUCGCGAAUACUACGCCCUUGGCAUAGGAAAAAGAAAAAGACGGAAAAAAGAUACAUACUCUAUACGAAUAAAUGUGGGGCCCAUUACACAAUUUGUUGACAAAAAUCAUCACGUUGUAUCGACAGAAAACGACCUUCGUUGGAACCCUGCAAGGAACCCUGCUGAGUUUGCGCCUCAAAAAUGACAAGUGUACAAAAUUGAAACAACGCUAGCAAAGAAUCAAAAUUCGUGGAAUCGAUAUUUUUAAAAAACAAUUUAACGAAUUAAAAGACAUUAAACUUCCUCGUUACUGCCAGAGGAUAUCUCGGUGCAGGAUAAUUAUUGUCGGUAUAACAAGCGCGUAGGGACAUGUGGGAUUUACCUCUAUUGCAAUAGUAAACACGACAGGAAUUGAAUGCCGAAGUAAUCGAAUGAAUCAUUGGAAUUCGUUGCUUAUUUUAUGUAAUACAACGCAGGUGCAUGAGAUGAUUAUAUCCUGUACGUGAAUGGUGUGAAAAUCUGAUAUAAAACGUAAUUUUAUGAUAGAGGACGUCAGAAAAAAAAAUCACACUACCUGCAGACUUUGAAAAUCCGCGAUGAUAGUUUCAGUGAUUUGAACAGACAAAUAAAAGUCUUUAAUAAUGAAUAUAUAUAUUUUUUAUCUAUUAUAUUAAGACUUAUAAUUGAUAUAUACUCUUGUAAGAUAUUUUAAUUACAAUUAUACUACUUUUACAGCGAUAAUUGAACGUACGCAAAUAAUAUACAGUAACAUCAAAGAUAAUUCACUUUCCGAGUACGGGGCACGUUCUUAUCUGACUAUAACUCCAUUCUCGAAUAACAACUGAUAUCAAUAUGAUACAGACUGUCUGUAUUCCAAAGUCUGGAAAACUUUAACUUCAAUAUCUAUACAAAGAGAAUGAGCAGAAAACUUUUGCUAUUAUAAUGUCUGAUAAUCUUUCCUCGCGAUAUUUACACAAGAAUGUCGAAUAUUCUUUAAGCAAACACAAUGAUGAUUUAUUUGCGAUAAUUCUUUUAUCACUGUAUCGUUUCCUAUCUUACGUAUGUAUACCUAUGUAUAAAAUAACACUAUCUAUAAAUUUUACGUUUGUCUCUUCAAUCUUUAAUCACAUUGAAUAUUCAGUUCAGAUUGGGAGUUAUUUUCAAACAUAAGUUUCGAUUUCAAUUAACACCAUGAGCGAUACCCACAUAUAACAUGCUAGGUACACAUGAAUAACAAUCAAAGCACGACUCAACAAACUGAUUUUGGUGUCAAAUAUCUCGAUAUUGAAUUCUACUCUACUUGACCCCAUUUGUGUUCGACCCCUCGCAUUUUAUUGAUACAUUAUUUGUAUCCAUGUUUUCCGAUAACAUGUAAUAAAAUUUAUAUCGUAUGAGGCAGAGAAAAAAAACGAUUAAUGAAUUUUAAUAAAAUUCUAAUUCGAACUUGAAUUUAGUAUAUUAACACGGUGAUAAUAGGGUAUAUGAUUCAUUAGUGAGUGAAAAUAAAAUAUCGUUUACGUACAUACUAAUAAAUAUGAAAAGGGCGUUAAGAAUGAAUUUUUCUUUUUAUGUGUACAGAAUUAAACAAUAAUAUGGUACAUACAGAUUCUAAGUUCCUAAGUAUCUUUGAAUAUUUGAAUUACAGCAGGUUAACAUAUAUUAUAUUUAUAUAUUAAUAUUCCUAAAACAAUUUUAUUUUUACAGCCCAUGUAAUGUCCACAAGGUAAAAAAAAUAUGCUAAUUAAAUAGAUACAUCAUGUGCUUUGGUUUACGCAUACGAAAAUAGAGCUUGAUUACACAAAUCUUAAACACGGAAGAAAGUAUUCAACUAGAACCCAUAUACCCUAUGACACGUGAAAUACGA